GACGAACGCUGGCGGCGUGCUUAACACAUGCAAGUCGAACGGAAAGGCCCUGCUUUUGUGGGGUGCUCGAGUGGCGAACGGGUGAGUAACACGUGAGUAACCUGCCCUUGACUUUGGGAUAACUUCAGGAAACUGGGGCUAAUACCGGAUAGGAGCUCCUGCUGCAUGGUGGGGGUUGGAAAGUUUCGGCGGUUGGGGAUGGACUCGCGGCUUAUCAGCUUGUUGGUGGGGUAGUGGCUUACCAAGGCUUUGACGGGUAGCCGGCCUGAGAGGGUGACCGGCCACAUUGGGACUGAGAUACGGCCCAGACUCCUACGGGAGGCAGCAGUGGGGAAUGUUGCACAAUGGGCGGAAGCCGGAUGCAGCAACGCCGCGUGCGGGAUGACGGCCUUCGGGUUGUAAACCGCUUUCGCCUGUGACGAAGCGUGAGUGACGGUAAUGGGUAAAGAAGCACCGGCUAACUACGU
rnacentral:rRNA from 1 species